rnacentral:rRNA from 1 species
CGUAGGGUGCAAGCGUUGUCCGGAAUUAUUGGGCGUAAAGAGCUCGUAGGCGGUCUGUCGCGUCUGCUGUGAAAACUCAGGGCUUAACCCUGAGCUUGCAGUGGGUACGGGCAGACUAGAGUGCGGUAGGGGAGACUGGAAUUCCUGGUGUAGCGGUGAAAUGCGCAGAUAUCAGGAGGAACACCGGUGGCGAAGGCGGGUCUCUGGGCCGUAACUGACGCUGAGGAGCGAAAGCAUGGGGAGCGAACAGGAUUAGAUACCCUGGUAGUCCAUGCCGUAAACGUUGGGCGCUAGGUGUGGGGCUCAUUCCACGAGUUCCGUGCCGCAGCUAACGCAUUAAGCGCCCCGCCUGGGGAGUACGGCCGCAAGGCUA